UUCCGGUUGAUCCUGCCGGACCCCACUGCUAUCGGGAUAGGACUAAGACAUGCUAGUUGAGCGCUUCAGCCAAAACGAGGCGCAGCAUACAGCUCAGUAGCACGUGGCUAAUCUGCCCUUAGGAUAGGAACAACCCCGGGAAACUGGGGCUAAUUCCCAAUAGGCGAAGAACUCUGGAAUGAGUCUUCACCCGAAAAGAACCCACGUUACGCUCGUGGAACUCGCCUAAGGAUGAGGCCGCGGCCGAUCAGGUUGUUGGUGAGGUAAUGGCUCACCAAGCCUUUUACCGGUGCGGGCCGUGAGGGCGGGAGCCCGGAGAUGGGUACUGAGACAAGGACCCAGGCCCUACGGGGCGCAGCAGUCGCGAAAACUUUGCAAUACACGCAAGUGUGACAGGGCUAUCCCGAGUGCCAUCCGCUGAGGAAGGCUUUUACCCAGUCUAGAAAGCUGGGGGAAUAAGGAGAGGGCAAGUCUGGUGUCAGCCGCCGCGGUAAUACCAGCUCUCCGAGUGGUGUGGAUGUUUAUUGGGCCUAAAGCAUCCGUAGCUGGCUAAGCCAGUCCCUUGUUAAAUCCACCGAAUUAAUCGUUGGAUUGCGGGGGAUACUGCUUGGCUAGGGGACGAGAGAGGCAGACGGUAUUUUCGGGGUAGGGGUGAAAUCCUAUAAUCCCGGGAAGACCACCAGUGGCGAAGGCUGUCUGCUAGAACGCGCCCGACGGUGAGGGAUGAAAGCUGGGGGAGCGAACCGGAUUAGAUACCCGGGUAGUCCCAGCUGUAAACGAUGCAGGCUAGGUGUUUGGACGGCCACGUGCCGUUCUAGUGCCGCAGGGAAGCUGUUAAGCCUGCCGCCUGGGGAGUACGAUCGCAAGAUUGAAACUUAAAGGAAUUGGCGGGGGAGCACUACAAGGGGUGAAGCUUGCGGUUUAAUUGGAGUCAACGCCGGG
rnacentral:rRNA from 1 species